AGCUUAAAUGAGAUUACGCUUAAGACCAGCACACCUUGUGGUUUCAUAUUACUGAGUGCAUGAUGGACUGGACAUACACAAUGGGCAUUCAGGAUGUGUCAGGGGACUAGUACUGCAUAUGCAGCCCUCCUGUUCUCUCUGGCAUUCCCCCUGGAAAUCUAUCUUUGGAUCUGUGCAUAAUCGUCUAGUUGGCCAAGGGCGAGGAACAGCUUCUGGAACAGAAAGGGUUAAAAAGCUCAGAAGACUGGACAACAAAAAAGAAAAGUUGGAGGCCUCUGUAACCAUUGCUAGCAUAAAAAACCGUCAAAGUGAGGACUGCUUAUUUUCUCUUUCAAGGCAAAAAUGGGAAAGAAGAAUUUCUUGCAAGCAUUACUGUAAUCCUCUUUGUGUUUCAUAGCCUUUGGGCCCGAACAAACAAAUUGCAUUUGUGAUAUUUUUCACAAUGCACGCCUUACAGUAAGGAUUCCUUAAUGCAUUAGCUCGUGUGAUCAAGUCUCAGCUUUCCUUACGAAAGAUGGAAAGAAGACUAAAGAAAAAAACAACAAACAAAUUACUAAAAAUCUGACUGAGGGUAGUUUACUGUACAAAGUUUAUCGUGAUUUAAAAAGAUUAAGAAAUAAACCUCAUUCUUUUAAAAAAUCUCAGAAACUGGAGGAUUUUUU
rnacentral:lncRNA from 7 species